UCUGAUGAACAUUACCCUGUUCAUACAUAUUUGAGGCUGAUGAACUUUAAAAGAAUCAUGAGAACAGCCGCGAACGGCAAAACAGCCGUCUAUUCGCACUAAAAAAUGGUGUGAUGAGAAAUAGUAACUUCAAUGAUAUAUGCAUAUACUGUUAGUAAUUUUUAUAAUUCAUUACGUGGACUACAAUCUUUUUGAUAUGCUAUUAAGUUUAACCAUUGGGCAUAUUCUUAUAGAAGGAGCUGUGAGCCGCAAACCCACGUAAGAUGCCCACUUCAGAAACUUCAGGACCCUCCCUACAUAUAUUUACUGGCCUGUAAAUGCCCACUUCAGAAACUUCAGAGACUUGCUAGACAGGUGCCAUCCUGAUUUUGACAAUCAUAUAAAGAAGAGCGGGUUCACGUUAGCCUUCAGGACUGUCUGAUGCAUGGACCUGCCCAUAUCAUAGACGGUGAGGACUGGAUGUAUCAAAGCAAUUUUAUUGAUCAGUUUGUUUUGGGAGAGAAUUUUUAAGAGCGGAAUGGAUCAUAUGUGUCAAAGUUGUUUGGACUUUGUGAUACGGAGGGUUGCCCGAUCUUUACGGAUUGAGUGGGACAAAUACCAAGCAAACAUUCUGUCAACCAGCUCCUGUAGUCCUGGUCCAAAUCUCAUGGAUCUGUCUUGUUGAUAAUAAGGUAGGAACUAUGAAGUCUUAUAGUAUUACACAAAAAAGCACUUCCAACAAAAGAAGAGGCUUUCUCCUUUUCGAGCUUCCCCGCUGAAAUCUUGUUUGUUAGUAGUUCCAGAAAUGCCCUAAAAAAGUAGUCCAAGAAAUUUCCUAAAAUAGUAGUUCCAAAAAUUGGCAUGGUGGCGGUGCUAUGCAGAAUCUUACAGAAAAAAUGUUAGCCACAUUUCCCUACCUUUGCCACCCUGUAGCUUCAUUUUUGUUAGCCACACUUCCCAACUUUUGUCACCCUGUACCUGUAGCUUCAUUUUUGUUAGCCACACCUGGUUCUGGUUCUGGUGGCCUGUGCACCUUCUGGUGCCUGCCCUGUGCCCUCAAGUACUUGAACGUGCGCGGAUGGUACUUGCACUUGAAUGUUGCCUUGGCAAUCAUCUCCUGUACCUCCUUGUUGGACGCUGAUGGCAGUGUGCGAGACAACACUGGGCUCUGCUGUGCUAGCUUGUUUUCCUCGUCAUAGAUGGCUAGCAACUGCAGGGAGGUGUCGCUGGGUGCAUGAGCCGGUGGACUCCAUUUGGAGAUGGAUAUCGAGAGAAGAGGUUCCUUGAUGGAUCUGGAUGCUUUGGAGAUCUGGUGUGCUUUGUUGAAGUCUACGUUGGCCAGGGUUUAAAAGCUAGGGAGAGCGGCGAGUGAUGGGUCAUGUACAGUGGGAGACUAGCGAGAAAUGGAACUUAAGUAAUAAACACUGUGUAAUGUUGUCUUGUUUUUUUCUUUUUUCGAAAUGGGUUGCCCCAGUCUCUGCAUCGCAAUGAUGCAUACAGCCGCUGUAAUGUUGUCUUGUAGGAGGGAAAGGUUGGGCAAGGUGACCUUUUUGUCUGUGUGCUUGUUGUGUGGGUGUGCAUGUAAGUGCUGAUAGUCCUCGGCUAUUCUUAGCACAAGUAAAUGCUGCUUACACAUUUAGAGCACAUUAACUUCACCUUGAUAUCAUAUUGACAUGACACCUCUAGGCCCUACCUCAGCUCAAGUUUAUUCUAUUUAAUUGUUAUCUUUCUGCCAUGACACAGGACAUUGAGUCUAUAUCACACAUUGGACAAGAGGCAGUUAUAGUUGAUUGUUAUCAACGCCCAGCUCCAACAUAUCUGGAACAGCUCGAGCAAGUUUCUAGUUUCUACAAAAUUCAUAGUGUUGGUUGUGAGCUCUCUAGACCCCAGUUAAGUGCUGUAAUUGCCCUUAUCUCCCUCUUGAAUGUCUGGAAACUUCACUUGUCAAAAAUCCUGAUAUGAUAAUGCAAGUAGCCAACUACUGCUUCUUGACAAAAUUCUUCAAGAGAUCAGCAACAAGAGGUUAAGAGUCAUUGUUCCUUUUCAGGUGAGAUACUCAUGGCGUUGUGAUUCUAAGUUUAUCAGUCAUUAGACUUUUACUUCUGCAAGUAUAAUAUGUACUCAAUAGUUGAUCUAAGUAUUUAUUUUAUGUGAUACACACUUGAACCAGUUUCUGUCGCUGGCAUAUAAUCACUCUUUCACAUACUGGUCUGAACAUGCCCCCUCAAGUAUUAAUUAUGGUUCUCGUUUUUUUCUAGUGAUUCUCUCGAUGCUCUUCUUUAAUCAGUUACUUUGAGGGCACACCUUAAUUUUCUCAGCUCAGCAUGAUCUUAAACAUUUUUGUUUUUGUUUUGCGGCCGUCUGGUGGAGUAGGUGCAAACCCAACGGGUGAUAUUCUGAAAGAUGUUGUGCGUCCCAGUCUCCCAGAUUUGGUCCCGAGUCAUUCACAGAUUUGGUCCCAGAGUCAUAUGUAUGUGUUAAAUGUGGUGCAGUGAUGCCAAGUAAAACUGGCGACAAUUAAUAUGUUCACUGACAAGAAAAAAAAGGGGAGAUUUGUUUUUCAGUUUGGCUCCUUCAAAAGGCAUCUAAUUUGUUGCGAACCAAACAUGAAUAGUUUUUCAUAUCUUAGCUGUCAAAUAUUUAUGAUUGUUUUGAACAAAUACACACCAAGAAGUUCGACCAAAUACUUUGUAAACCGACAUCUAUCUAGAAGCACAUGUUGAAGUAUCAAGCUA